rnacentral:lncRNA from 1 species
AAUGUUCUUUAAUUCAAAUUUAUUUAUUUAAUUAAUAUGUAGUAGUGUAAUUCAGAUAAAAUUUAGAUAUAAAACUUAAAUUGUGCUCUUUAAGAGUUUUUUUUAUAUGCUAUACAUUUCAUCUCAAAUCGUGCCGCGUUUUAAGGCUUGUGUGCCUAAAACCCUAUAUGUCGUGUUGUACCGCAUGUCUUGAUGAAGAGUGCUUGUAUGGAUACAUGCUGUGUCUUUGCGCUGCCUCGUGCCACCCAGUCUGUCGACCAUCUCUACCUAAAACAUUGUUUUAGUGAUAUUAUUUUUAUUACCAAAUGGUAUAAAUUUUUAGUUACCAUACACUUCAUCGGUUCUGUUUGUUUUCUAACUUGAUUGUCAAAUUUUAAGGGAAUGACAUUUUCAUCUCUCUAAAAACAAUUUCAUCAUUUGGCCCCUAAUAAAUUUGUAAUACUCCAUUUAAUCCCUAGAGUUAAAAAAGUAACUACAAAACUCAUUAUUGAAGUCACAUUUAUCAUUCAACAAUCAACAAUAUGUUAGUUAUAUGAUUCUAAUACUGAAAAUGUACUAUUAAACACUUAUUAGGGAUAUAAGUGAUAAAAAUAAUUUUUAAAAAGGAUAAAAAUGUCAUUCUUUAGAUAAAAAAGCAAAUCAAAUUGCUUCGCCCGCACCCCCCCCCCCCCCAAACACCAAAAUCCAAUUGUUUAUGAUGGUAAAAGUUUAAUUUCCAGGCCACCAAGUUUGCCCAAGAAGAAAGGAAAGGAUAAACAAAAUAUAGCUCGGGAUUUGUUAAUUGUUAUGGCAAAAAUGAUAUAUGGACGGAGGUGUAGCCAGGAUUUUGAUCGAGCUAGGGUACAUUUAAAAUCAAACAUGACUCGAACGCGUGACUACGCGCAGUGGCGGAUUUAGAAAACAAUUUAUUGGGGGUUAGAUUACAUAUUAGUAAAAUUUUAAAACUAGAACUUUGAAUGUAUAAAAUACUUGUUAAUAUAUUUAUGACUGUUCUCGACGUAUUUUCAAGAAUAGAAAAAUGUUUGUGGUGAUGUCAUUAUUUUUAAUUAUAGUGUGGGCUUUUAUAAUUCUAAAUGUUAAAGUUUAAAUUUGGUGAAUUUAUAAAUUUAUAGGGUCAAUUUUAAUAGAUUUAAUGGGGGCUAAUUAGAAAUAUUAAAUAUUUUUUCUUUUAUUCUUAGAAUUUUUUUUAGCCAAUGGGGGCUACAACCCCCACUGGUCACAUGGUGCAUCCGAUGCUAACUACGCAUGUGGUAAGUUCUCAUUUGGAACACUGUGUUGUGGGCCCCACAAACUCCAAAUGGGAGCUUGUCUCAUGCACAAUCGUGCUUAUAGAAUGUGUCCGCAUAAAGUAUAAUACACUUCUAAAAAUUUAGAUAGCAAUAUAAAACUUUACAACUAUAAUAGUCAUUAAUAAUAAAUUUACUAAUGAUGAUUGUUCUCGUUGAAAACUCCUUAAUGGAAUUUUAUGAGUUGAAAAUAAUGUAUGGUAGUUUAAUUAUCAAUUUAAGAAAAAAUAUAUUUUUCAAUAUAGACUAGGUUAUUACUUAAUUUUCUUUUA